AGCAGCAAGGCCCUUCUAACCAUUUUUUUUUUUUAACAAGACCCUUGCAAAGAGAAAACUUAGUUUUCCUUGCUGUCAAUUCCCUGGCUGCUUUUUUAGAACGUAUAGGACAGGAACCUAGGUGAAAUGCAGACUCCUUCUACCACAUUCCCUCUGGACCUUUCACAAUAUAUAUAUAUAUACAGCAUUGUACUAAUAUG